rnacentral:lncRNA from 1 species
ACUCAUUAUUUUCGUUUUAUCCAUGAAUUUUCACAUGUCUCAUAUGUCAAUAAAGUAUGAAUAUAAUCACAAUACACCAAUGGUACCACGUUAAAUAUUUUAAUAACACAAUACAAUUAUUCACAUGUAUUCAAGGCUAUCAAUAUCACAUAGGACCCCACACGGUCACACAUAUCACAUAAUAUUUUAAUUUCGAUAAUUAUA